AAGGUUAAGCCUCACGGUUCAUUAGUACCGGUUAGCUCAACGCAUCGCUGCGCUUACACACCCGGCCUAUCAACGUCGUCGUCUUCAACGUUCCUUCAGGACCCUUAAAGGGUCAGGGAGAACUCAUCUCGGGGCAAGUUUCGUGCUUAGAUGCUUUCAGCACUUAUCUCUUCCGCAUUUAGCUACCGGGCAGUGCCAUUGGCAUGACAACCCGAACACCAGUGAUGCGUCCACUCCGGUCCUCUCGUACUAGGAGCAGCCCCCCUCAGUUCUCCAGCGCCCACGGCAGAUAGGGACCGAACUGUCUCACGACGUUCUAAACCCAGCUCGCGUACCACUUUAAAUGGCGAACAGCCAUACCCUUGGGACCUACUUCAGCCCCAGGAUGUGAUGAGCCGACAUCGAGGUGCCAAACACCGCCGUCGAUAUGAACUCUUGGGCGGUAUCAGCCUGUUAUCCCCGGAGUACCUUUUAUCCGUUGAGCGAUGGCCCUUCCAUUCAGAACCACCGGAUCACUAUGACCUGCUUUCGCACCUGCUCGCGCCGUCACGCUCGCAGUCAAGCUGGCUUAUGCCAUUGCACUAACCUCCUGAUGUCCGACCAGGAUUAGCCAACCUUCGUGCUCCUCCGUUACUCUUUAGGAGGAGACCGCCCCAGUCAAACUACCCACCAGACACUGUCCGCAACCCGGAUUACGGGCCAACGUUAGAACAUCAAACAUUAAAGGGUGGUAUUUCAAGGUCGGCUCCAUGCAGACUGGCGUCCACACUUCAAAGCCUCCCACCUAUCCUACACAUCAAGGCUCAAUGUUCAGUGUCAAGCUAUAGUAAAGGUUCACGGGGUCUUUCCGUCUUGCCGCGGGUACACUGCAUCUUCACAGCGAGUUCAAUUUCACUGAGUCUCGGGUGGAGACAGCCUGGCCAUCAUUACGCCAUUCGUGCAGGUCGGAACUUACCCGACAAGGAAUUUCGCUACCUUAGGACCGUUAUAGUUACGGCCGCCGUUUACCGGGGCUUCGAUCAAGAGCUUCGCGUUGCCGCUAACCCCAUCAAUUAACCUUCCGGCACCGGGCAGGCGUCACACCGUAUACGUCCACUUUCGUGUUUGCACAGUGCUGUGUUUUUAAUAAACAGUUGCAGCCAGCUGGUAUCUUCGACUGAUUUCAGCUCCACGAGCAAGUCGCUUCACCUACAUAUCAGCGUGCCUUCUCCCGAAGUUACGGCACCAUUUUGCCUAGUUCCUUCACCCGAGUUCUCUCAAGCGCCUUGGUAUUCUCUACCUGACCACCUGUGUCGGUUUGGGGUACGAUUUGAUGUUACCUGAUGCUUAGAGGCUUUUCCUGGAAGCAGGGCAUUUGUCACUUCAGCACCGUAGUGCCUCGUCAUCACGCCUCAGCCUUGGUUUUCCGGAUUUGCCUAGAAAACCAGCCUACACGCUUAAACCGGGACAACCGUCGCCCGGCCAACAUAGCCUUCUCCGUCCCCCCUUCGCAGUAACACCAAGUACAGGAAUAUUAACCUGUUUCCCAUCGACUACGCCUUUCGGCCUCGCCUUAGGGGUCGACUCACCCUGCCCCGAUUAACGUUGGACAGGAACCCUUGGUCUUCCGGCGAGCGGGCUUUUCACCCGCUUUAUCGUUACUUAUGUCAGCAUUCGCACUUCUGAUACCUCCAGCAACCCUCACAGGCCACCUUCACAGGCUUACAGAACGCUCCCCUACCCAACAACACAUAGUGUCGCUGCCGCAGCUUCGGUGCAUGGUUUAGCCCCGUUACAUCUUCCGCGCAGGCCGACUCGACCAGUGAGCUAUUACGCUUUCUUUAAAUGAUGGCUGCUUCUAAGCCAACAUCCUGGCUGUCUGGGCCUUCCCACAUCGUUUCCCACUUAACCAUGACUUUGGGACCUUAGCUGGCGGUCUGGGUUGUUUCCCUCUUCACGACGGACGUUAGCACCCGCCGUGUGUCUCCCGUGAUAACAUUCUCCGGUAUUCGCAGUUUGCAUCGGGUUGGUAAGUCGGGAUGACCCCCUUGCCGAAACAGUGCUCUACCCCCGGAGAUGAAUUCACGAGGCGCUACCUAAAUAGCUUUCGGGGAGAACCAGCUAUCUCCCGGUUUGAUUGGCCUUUCACCCCCAGCCACAAGUCAUCCGCUAAUUUUUCAACAUUAGUCGGUUCGGUCCUCCAGUUAGUGUUACCCAACCUUCAACCUGCCCAUGGCUAGAUCACCGGGUUUCGGGUCUAUACCCUGCAACUUAACGCCCAGUUAAGACUCGGUUUCCCUUCGGCUCCCCUAUUCGGUUAACCUUGCUACAGAAUAUAAGUCGCUGACCCAUUAUACAAAAGGUACGCAGUCACCCCAUUAAGAGGCUCCCACUGCUUGUACGUACACGGUUUCAGGUUCUUUUUCACUCCCCUCGCCGGGGUUCUUUUCGCCUUUCCCUCACGGUACUGGUUCACUAUCGGUCAGUCAGGAGUAUUUAGCCUUGGAGGAUGGUCCCCCCAUAUUCAGACAGGAUACCACGUGUCCCGCCCUACUCAUCGAGCUCACAAUAUGUGCAUUUUUGUGUACGGGGCUGUCACCCUGUAUCGCACGCCUUUCCAGACGCUUCCACUAACACACACACUGAUUCAGGCUCUGGGCUCCUCCCCGUUCGCUCGCCGCUACUGGGGGAAUCUCGGUUGAUUUCUUUUCCUCGGGGUACUUAGAUGUUUCAGUUCCCCCGGUUCGCCUCAUUAACCUAUGGAUUCAGUUAAUGAUAGUGUGACGAAUCACACUGGGUUUCCCCAUUCGGAAAUCGCCGGUUAUAACGGUUCAUAUCACCUCACCGACGCUUAUCGCAGAUUAGCACGUCCUUCAUCGCCUCUGACUGCCAGGGCAUCCACCGUGUACGCUUAGUCGCUUAA
rnacentral:rRNA from 1 species